rnacentral:rRNA from 1 species
GAUGAACGCUGGCGGCGUGCCUAAUACAUGCAAGUCGAGCGAACAGAUAAGGAGCUUGCUCCUUUGACGUUAGCGGCGGACGGGUGAGUAACACGUGGGUAACCUACCUAUAAGACUGGGAUAACUUCGGGAAACCGGAGCCAAUACCGGAUAAUAUUUCGAACCGCAUGGUUCGAUAGUGGAAGAUGGUUUUGCUAUCACUUAUAGAUGGGCCCGCGCCGUAUUAGCUAGUUGGUAAGGUAACGGCUUACCAAGGCGACGAUACGUAGCCGACCUGAGAGGGUGAUCGGCCACACUGGAACCGAGACACGGUCCAGACUCCUACGGGAGGCAGCAGUAGGGAAUCUUCCGCAAUGGGCGAAAGCCUGACGGAGCAACGCCGCGUGAGUGAUGAAGGUCUUCGGAUCGUAAAACUCUGUUAUUAGGGAAGAACAUACGUGUAAGUAACUGUGCACGUCUUGACGGUACCUAAUCAGAAAGCCACGGCUAACUACGUG